rnacentral:sRNA from 1 species
UUUUUAAAAACUGAACCAUAGAAACUAAAUCAAAACUAACUGCUGUGGGGUUUGGUUGAUCCCAUUAAGAAUAUUUUGGACCAAAAACCAUUCAAAAGACAAACGGUGAAGACCACAUCUCACUUUGCAAAAUCAUGAGAGCAAUUCUUUUUUCAGCCUGUGAAAAUUUCUUU